GAUGAAGAACGUAGUGAAACGCGAUACGUAAUGUGAAUUGCAGAAUUCAGUGAAUCAUCGAAUCUUUGAACGCACAUUGCGCCCCUUGGUAUCCCGAGGGGCAUGCCUGUUCGAGCGUCAUUUCACCACUCAAGCCUGGCUUGGUGUUGGGCGACGUCCUCUUUGGGGACGCGCCUCGAAACGCUCGGCGGCGUGGCACCGGCUUUAAGCGUAGCAGAAUCUUUCGCUUUGGAAGUCGGGGCCCCGUCUGCCGGAAGACCUGCUCGCAAGGUUGACCUCGGAUCAGGCAGGGAUACCCGCUGAACUUAAGCAUAUCAAUAAGCGGAGGA
rnacentral:misc_RNA from 1 species